rnacentral:rRNA from 1 species
CAGUCGCCGCGGGAAUACAGAGGGUGCAAGCGUUAAUCGGAAUUACUGGGCGUAAAGCGCGCGUAGGUGGUUUGUUAAGUUGGAUGUGAAAUCCCCGGGCUCAGCCUGGGAACUGCAUCCAAAACUGGCAGGCUAGAAUCUGGCAGAGGGGGGUAGAAUUCCACGUGUAGCAGUGAAAUGCGUAGAUAUGUGGAGGAACACCGAUGGCGAAGGCAGCCCCCUGGGCUAAGAUUGACGCUCAUGCACGAAAGCGUGGGGAGCAAACAGGAUUAGAUACCCCGGUAGUCCCUGUCUUUUAUAC